GAUGAACGCUGGCGGCGUGCUUAACACAUGCAAGUCGAACGGGAAUUAUUUUAUUGAACCUUCGGUCGAUUUAAUUUAAUUCUAGUGGCGGACGGGUGAGUAACGCGUGGGUAACCUGCCUUAUACAGGGGGAUAACAGUCAGAAAUGGCUGCUAAUACCGCAUAAGCGCACAGAGCUGCAUGGCUCAGUGUGAAAAACUCCGGUGGUAUAAGAUGGACCCGCGUUGGAUUAGCUGGUUGGUGGGGUAACGGCCCACCAAGGCGACGAUCCAUAGCCGGCCUGAGAGGGUGAACGGCCACAUUGGGACUGAGACACGGCCCAGACUCCUACGGGAGGCAGCAGUGGGGAACAUUGCACAAUGGGGGAAACCCUGAUGCAGCGACGCCGCGUGAAGGAAGAAGUAUCUCGGUAUGUAAACUUCUAUCAGCAGGGAAGAUAGUGACGGUACCUGACUAAGAAGCCCCGGCUAACUACGU
rnacentral:rRNA from 1 species